CUUCAAUCUAUCUGCAAUAUUUCAUUGCAAUAUAUAGUUAUCCUUGAUAUUUUCAGGGAAGGGAUUGAUUCCAGGACCCCUGUGGAUACCAAAAUCUGCAGAUGCUCAAGUUCCUUAUAUAAAAUGUAUAUAAGGGAGUAUGUAUAUAUGUAAUAUUUGCAUAUAACUUAUACAUACCUUCUCACAUUUAAAUCAUCUCUAGAUUACUUAUAAUAUCUAAUACAAUAUAAAUGCUAUAUAAAUAGUUGUUAUACUGUAUUGUUUAAGGAAUAAUGACAAGGGGGAAAAGUUCAUACAAGUUCAAUAUAGA
rnacentral:lncRNA from 1 species